rnacentral:lncRNA from 1 species
UUGGGUGUUUAGGGCCCAUGCGUCAGUAGUUGGAGAGUGGGGGACUGGGUGGCUCGGCUUGGCACAGAGAGGAUAUUAUUCGAGUCCCUUCCCCUGGUUCUCUAUCUCUCGGGCUCCCCUUGUUCUUUCCUGCUUCAAGAGAAAAACAGAGAACAAGCUCUCAUCGUCUUCUCUCUCACUCCCCAAGCUUUGUGCUCCAUUCAAGUGAGAGAUUGAUCUCUAGUGAUAGAUCUGAGAGCUUCAAGAGCAUCUCCUCCCUCUCCUCUCCAUUCCCAUGGUUGGUUUUCUUUGGUGAGAGGAGUUGAGGAAACCCUAGUGUUCAUGCAUUUGUGAUUCAUAUUUGUGGCACUAGGUUGUGAUUGCAAUUGUGGAUUUCUUAUUACUCUUGGUGAUUGCCGUCACCUAGACGGUUGUGGAUUUGUUGAUUGGUGAGGGGAUUUGGUGAUUGUGUCCGCCCCCAAUCAAGGUGCUAUUUGUGAGGGGUUCUUGGGCUUAUUCCCCGGCGGAGUGCCAAAAGCCACUCUAGUGGAUUGCUCGUGUCAUUGAGCUACCUCACUUGUGGGUAGGUUCUUGCGGUGCCCAUUUGUUGGGCUAGGUUUGUGAAACACCUAUUAGCCGCCGAACCACCAAGUGUUGGUCGACACAAUGGGGACUAGCGUGCCGGCAAGCACAUGAACCUCGGGAGAAAAAUAUUGGUGUCAAUAUUGUGAUUGGUAUUCUCCCGGUGAAUAUAUUGAUAUACAUUGUGAUUGGUUCAUCCUCUACAUAUCGGUAUAAUUAUCUCUCAUCUCUUUACUUUCUUGCAAAUUAGUUGUAACUAGUAGUUUUAGCUAGUUGUAACUAGUUGUAGAGAGUAGUGACAUAGCCAUUGCUUGUGCCUAGAGAUCAUAGCAACUAGAAUUGUUGGAUAGGUGACUUGCAACCCUUGUAGAGCUAGAGCAAAAUUGCUUUACGCCUUUUGUUAUAUUAAUCCUUUGCUCUAGUGCCUUGUAGAUUUUUUAAAUAGGCUAUUCACCCCCCCCUCUAGCCAUAUUAGGACCUUUCAAAGAGUGAAUCUUUAUGAAUAAAGGUCUUGAUCUUAGGAGUACGAUAAAUCUCUCAACAAGGGUCUAACUCAUUUUGAACAAACUCAAUACAGAUUAGAUAGCUUUUAUAAUUAUCAUGUUAAUAUUUUCAGGUUUAUCAGACAUAUAAAACACUGAGGAUGGUAGCUAGUAUUUUUGAAUAAGUUCUCCAAGCAUCAAUGAUAACAAGAAUAAGAAACUCAUACUCUACCAUCUCAUAUUCCAUAAUGACUUAAGUAACACCGGGUUUUAAAAUGAUUUUUCAAUAAUUGCAGGUUUUCAGGAAAUAUCACAGAGUGAGAUUACUCAUGAUUAAAAACAUUUUAAUCUUUUUAAUUUAUCAUGUCGGAGACAAUAUUCUGUAUAAUCCAAGAUAUAUGUGUAUGUAUAAAGUGUGCAGAGUAUGUACCUGAAUCGUGGAGUGGUGUAGUCGGAGUGUAUUUGCCAUGUCGAGGGAUCUCCCCCAUACUUGUUUUCUACUUUCUUGCAUAAAAAUAAAGUAGAGACACAAGACAUAAUAAUAAUAAUAAUAAUAAUCUUUAUUAAUCUUGAGGCAUUUAUUACAAAUGACUAGUAAUGAACCAAAGCUAAUAAUAGAUCUAAACCGAAUUUAAAGAUAAAUAACUAAGAUGCAUUGCCUCAAGAUCUAAUUUAGAUAGCUUAGCGGCGCUCUAACUCCCUAAUCUUCCUAUUGGCACUAGCAAGAUCAUGCCUAAGACCUAGUAUCAGGGUGUUAUGGUUAGAGAGCUGCCUAGUGGAUUUCCUAAGCUUUUCAAAAAUGUAUGGAUCAUCUCCAGAUGAGUUAAGUAGCUCGAGAUAUAACUUCUGGAAGUUAAUGCACCUUUGCUGAGACAUUGUCAGGAUGGAAUUUAAGUUUGGCUAUUUUACCUAAGCUUAAAGACAGAACCUAAGGAGGUUUUCUACAUAAAAGUUAUAGGGAAAUUCAUAAGCUUUCUAACAAUACAAGCUGCAACUCUAUUGGAUUAACAGAAUAAGAGUUAUUUGUGUUUUACUACGCUGAUGUUUUUCAUAUCGCGAGGAAAUUUCAGGAUACCUGUUUGCUCCAUUGCACAUAAGUUCUUUGGAAUGUCAGAAGAUCUCAAUGUUAGUUAACUUGUCUGGAAAAUAUGCAAGCUAACUUUCUUGUGUCCCCUAGUUGACCCUUUUAAGGGGGUAGCCUAAUUAAAGAAGUUACAUAGAGAAAAAUUGGAUACUGUUGGAUCAUAAGUGAAGAUCACAAGUGCUUGGUAAAUUGGUUUUGAUUCAGGAUAUCAUCCAAUUUAGAGAAUAUUAUUGGAGAUAUAUGUCAUUGCUGAUACUCAUGGAUUGAGAGUUGUGGUUAUGAGGAUCAGAUGACACCAAAGGUUAUGAAGUUAUAUGUACAGUAUGAGAGUGAAAUAACUUAACCGUGAUAAAGGUACCGAUAAUUGAAACUUAGUGAUGAAACUAACCUUGGAUCAAGAGACUCAGUACAACAAAUUUAAAAGACUAUGAUGUGUAGCAUUCAAAAAGAAUAGGAGAACUAGUCCUUACUAUUCCCCAAUCAAUCUCAUCUUAAGGGGUGUAGUACCUUGAUAUCACGGAUGAUGCAUUUUCGAACUAUUUUGAAGUGAGAGUUGUCUCUUGAGAUAUCCUACGAUCAUCUAUCCUUGCUCGUGUUACUGAUAUGGACUAAAAAAUUAAAGAGAAGUGGCCUUGUAAUUGGAGUUACCUGAGAGUGAGCUUGGUGCACCUGAGUUCUUCACAUGACAAAGUUGGAGCCAUGUUUGGGUGUACUUAAGAAAAAAAUACCCUUAGAGAAAUAAGUUUAAAGAAGUAUCAUACCUACUACACUAGGUGUCUCAUCAAUAUUUUAGGAAUACUUGAGAGGCUACUUGGAGUAAGGAAGUGGAAUCAUUGCUAUGAAGAUAUAACUACUCAAGGAAGUGAACAAGAUUCAAAAUCUACGUCUCUUUCAUAACCGUCUUCUGAAUCUCGAGGACGAGAUUCAUCUUAAGGGGGGUAGAAUUGUAACACCCUAAAAUUUACUCCUUUUGAAAUAUAGAUAAAAUUAUUUAAUUUUAUAUUUUUGUGCUCAUGAAAAUAUAGGAAAAAUAAUAUAUUUUUAAAAAUUAAAAUUUAUCAUAAGGCUUAGCAAAAUUAUUAUGCAUACAUGCUGGUGCAUAUGUUUUGAUGUGAUACUUGUUGCUCCUUUAUGUGUUGAGUGAGCAAAGUUUUUAAAAUGCGUUUAGUAGAUCGAUCUUCCUUGUUGACCAGUACGUCUUUAUCUUUAUCAACCAAAUUUCUUCUUUCUCAACUCAAGUUUUUAUUAGGAGCUUCCUAAAAUCUUUUCUUUGUCACUCAAAAUACUUCUUUUAUUUCCUCGUCCAUCAAGCAAUCUCUACAAACUUUUCGGAAAUUUUUUCAUCUUCUGUUCUCACUUUUCUCUGAGCAUGAUCUAAUUUUUAGAUGCUCUAAACAAUAUUAUCAUGAGCUCCAAAAACUUUAUUCGGGUUCCCCAUGUUCUAUAAUAUGUCUGAGAAUUUUUCCUGAAUUUUCGGAGCAUUUUCGUGGCUUAACUACUAAUUCUAAACUUUUCUAGAAUUAUUUUAUCAACGAAAAUAAUUAAUUCCGAAAAUAAUAAAUCUCUUAUUAUUUUUCCAACGUCAAAGCCCAUAAUAAAUCCCAAGAACCAUGUAGUUAUUUAGUAAUUGUUGGGUAUUUUAAACGCAAACAGAAAAAUCCGCAAGCGCACGGAUACCGAUGUAGCUUUCACCCGGGAGUAUUCCAGAGUAUCGAUUUUCCACAGAGAACGUGAGUGUACUAAUUAAGAUCCAAGAUCGCCCAAGGAUAACUGUAUAAUUAUUUUUGGUGGGAAGAGAGGAAGUUUCCUGAGAGUUCUUUAGUUGAUCUAAGAAUCAAGAAUUACUUCCAAGAUUAUUUAUAUCGGGACAUCAGAGCACUAACCACAGAAAGAGAUGGGAAGGGGGCUAGGAAGGUCUGACUACGGUCCUACAAACACCAAUCCGAACGAGGUGGAAUAUGUCGACCGUUAGGGCUGUCACUACCCUAAGGCUACUACAACAAUCCGCAGGAUUGGGUGCAAUUCCAGGUAAUCGCAAGACUAAACACCACGUCUAAUCUAUUAAUUACUACUCUAGCGUUAUAAAGACUAGAGCACUUGAUGCAAGCGAGAAUCCAAUAAAUAACUUGAAUGCAAAUAAAAGUAAUUAAAGAACUCAGGAAUUAUGAGUUGAAGAACAUGUAGAACGAUGAAGAACGAACCAGUUGCUGCAAAAGUAUAAUAUUGAGGAAGAUCUGACAGAUCCGGCUCCUCCUCCGCUCUCCUCUUCUCUCUCCCUAUUUUCUAGAUUACAACUAGAACUAACUAGAACUAGAACUAGAGGAACUAGAACUAGAACUAGAUGAACUAGAACUAGAUCUAGAUGAACUAGAGGUAGAACUAGAAGAACUAGAGGGAUCCUCUCUACUUGGAUGAAGAAUUGAAACCCUAACUUUGAUUCUGUAGAAGAGGUAUGAUCUCCAGGGGCCAGGGAGCCUUGCUUAUAUAGUCUUUUCAGAUGAAUCUGGGCCGUCGGAUCAAACCGACAUUGAUCGUGUGGUUUUUCUUGAAGUAUUAGGUCGGUGGAGCAUGAUCCGCGAAACGUGUCCUGAUUGGGCACUGUAGCUGGGCGGGCGCCUAGGAGAGUUGGGCGGGCGCCCUGCCUCCGAGCCCGAUUUCCUUCCCGUUCGUUCCUGUGGCUUCUGGAGUCUUCUAGAUGAUAGAAAAUUGCGCGACACGUUAAUAUCUCUAUGUAAACCCGACGUGUGGGCCUUUCUUCCGUAUUUCCUGAUAACCCCCUGCAGAAAUAGACAAACACCAAAACUCGUGGAAUUCUGUCAGAUAAAACCCUAAGUAUAGGUGUUGGUUGCAUUUGGAUCCUUUUCCAUGAUUAGUUGAUGAUUAAAUAUGAGCAUUAAGGACUGUCAACAAGCUCCCCCAAGCUUAACCUUUGCUCGUCCCUGAGCAAAGAUGGACUCAAGAGUUUCUGCAUUGGUUUUAUACCUUAAAGAUACACAAGCGUUCAAACAAGAUCUCAUCUCUAGGUUAGGGUAAACUGUUAAGAUUUAAACUUACUCAUAUUACCUUCCACCAUGGGGCUUACAACCGUCACCUGUGUCUUGAGCAGUUAAAAGAUAGAACGGUCUUGUCAAACGUCAUGUCUCUUGUUCUUCGAUUAACUAUAGCUCUGGAGUUUUUGCAGAUUUUCAAAUAAAACUCAGAGAUUCCUUGUAUGACUCUCUCUAGUCUCUCUUUUGUGGUAUUUCUGGAUUCUUACCAAGGCAGUAAAGGUGUAUGCCUUCUCUCAAAGUAUGUGGUAUUUUUGGUAUAAGGCAUAGUGACAUUGCCUUCUCUCUCACCUACUCUAAUAAGGCUUUUGAUAUCUGGAGCUCAUAGGUGGGAGACAGCUAAUACAUACUUACAAGACAUUUAUUGCAUAGUCAAACCAUGGAUCCAGAAGAACAAGUCAAUAAGUCAGAUCAAGAUGUGCAUGUGUGGCGAAUGAAUGAUGCAUGGUAAUGAUGGUGAUAACAAUGGUGAAAGUCUAAUUCUACUUAUGCUCUUUUGAGGGGAUACAUACCUUUCUUGCUCUUUUGAAACUUUUUGAUGAGAAUGAGAUGCUCUAUAUUUUCUUUUUCUUUUCUCUCAGGUGGGUAUCUUGUACCCCUAAUUCUACUGUCGGACACUUGUCCAUUUUUACCUCUUGUCUCACUUUUUCUUUUCUUUCGAGGUUUCGGGCACUUGCCCCUUUUUAUUUCCUCGUAUCUUUUUUUUUCUUUUUUAGAGCAUUCAUCUCUUGAAAUAAUAUAGCAAGUGGUAGUAACCAAGAUAACUUGAGCAUUUAUUUCACGGGAAAUAACAGGGAUAGGAUAAUGUUUUUGGCUAUUCUCUCCUAGAUAGGAAUAGAAUAAUUUUGAAUGAAUCUGGAGAUGAACAUGAGUGGAUAUAUGUGGAUGCGUACUUCCGGAGUAGAAGCAACAUGUAUGAGUGAACGUGCAAGUGAAUCUUGAUUUAACCACAUGACAAGCUCCUAAGGGUAUACACAGCUUGACCACACGCAAUGCUCAUAAGCAGUAAAAAGUAAAUGUGUGGCUCAAAGUCUAGCAAGCAUGUAUAUAUGGCUGUGGUAGGAAUUUAAACUCUCAUCAUACAAGACCUCAUCAUGCAACAUUUUAAAGAUUUUCAAAGAUAAAAUUCUCCAGAAUUCUAGCAUCUCUAGGAACAGAUAAACAGCAGCUCAACCUUCCCAUAUCAUAUCCGUUAACUACUUAGACUUUAGAUCAAGUACUCUUCCUACAAGUUCAGGUUUAGAGCAAAGCUUAAUUAAUAACAGUCAUGCCUAAACUUGAGAGAGAUUUCAAUUUUGAGAUUUAGUCAUGGCAGAGCAACUAUUCAUCAUUUCCAUGUGAGAGCUUAUCAUGAGGGUUCAUAGCAAACUUUAUUUAUUUAUUUAUUUAGCAAACUAAGCAAAGAUAUAUAUAUAUGAGCACAAAAUCUUUAUUUGGGUUUUUUAUGAUUAUGCAUCUUUUUAUUAUUAGUGUAAAGUAUAAACGUGAGUAGAAUACUUAGCUGGAUAAAUGGGGGUGCUCUCCCCCAAGCUGGAUUUUGACAUAAUUUUUUCUGAUGUAGCUAGCAGGUGGCGGAGGUGUAUUGAAUGUCGGCAGCAUCCUGACAGCGGUUAGGAUGUCCUCCGUCUGCUAGUCUUCUUUGAUCCUUGAAUUCUAUGGAGCUCAAAUAGACAACAAAGCUUUG